GGAAGUAUGUGUGCUUGGUAAGUAAAAUAACCAUGUAGACUCUAAUAUGAAUUAUCAUAAUAUUCUGUCGAACCUACGAACACAUUUUGUAAACAAAACAUGGAGCUGUUUGAUGAAGAAGAAGAGAUAAUUUCUCUUAUCACUUUCGUCAUACAACACUUUUGGAGGCUUGAAGAUGCCCAAGGCUAAGGAAAAGAGUGAGCAGCAUCUCUGCUUUUGUGAUAAGGUCUUUACCACCAAAGAGGCAGCUGAAUCCUGUGAAAGGAACCAUACCCACGUUGAUAGAGGUGCCCUUGAGCUGUCUGAGGAUCCAGACUGGGAAAUUGACACCCCAUCACACAGUGCCAG